rnacentral:rRNA from 1 species
AUUGAACGCUGGCGGCAGGCUUAACACAUGCAAGUCGAGCGGGGUGAUGGUGCUUGCACUAUCACUUAGCGGCGGACGGGUGAGUAAUGCUUAGGAAUCUGCCUAUUAGUGGGGGACAACAUCUCGAAAGGGAUGCUAAUACCGCAUACGUCCUACGGGAGAAAGCAGGGGAUCACUUGUGACCUUGCGCUAAUAGAUGAGCCUAAGUCGGAUUAGCUAGUUGGUGGGGUAAAGGCCUACCAAGGCGACGAUCUGUAGCGGGUCUGAGAGGCUGAUCCGCCAGACUGGGACUGGGACACGGCCCAGACUCCUACGGGAGGCAGCAGUGGGGAAUAUUGGACAAUGGGGGGAACCCUGAUCCAGCCAUGCCGCGUGUGUGAAGAAGGCCUUAUGGUUGUAAAGCACUUUAAGCGAGGAGGAGGCUCUUUUGGUUAAUACCCAGAAUGAGUGGACGUUACUCGCAGAAUAAGCACCGGCUAACUCUGUGCCAGCCGCCGCCGUAA